rnacentral:rRNA from 1 species
AACGAACGCUGGCGGCAUGCUUAACACAUGCAAGUCGAACGGAACGUCCGGGUCUAGGGGCGGUCGGGUGCGUACCACCUGGUAACCUGCCCUUAGGUUCGCCAUAACUCCCCGAAAGAGAUGCUCAUACAGGAUAAUGUCUUCGGACAAAAGAUUGUUCGGCUUAGGAUGGGCGCGGGUUGGAUUAGCCAGUUGGUAGGGUAAAAGCAGACCAAGGCGGCGAUCCAUAGCUGGUCUGAGAGGAUGACCAGACACACUGGGACUGAGACACGGGCCAGACUCCUACGGAGCAGAGCGGAGGGUAACAUUACGCUCUGAGCCAAAACCUGAUGCAGCCAUGUCGGGUGAGUGAUCAGUGCGUUAGAAUAGUAAAGCUCUUUUACCCGGAACGAUAAUGACAGUAACGGGAGAAUAAGCUCCGGCUAACUCCGUG